rnacentral:rRNA from 1 species
UUCCGUUAAUUGAUUAUGACGUACUUGUACUGAUUGAGAUUUUAACACGAAGUGAGUGGCGAACGGGUGAGUAACACGUGGGUAACCUGCCCAGAAGUAGGGGAUAACACCUGGAAACAGAUGCUAAUACCGUAUAACAGAGAAAACCGCAUGGUUUUCUUUUAAAAGAUGGCUCUGCUAUCACUUCUGGAUGGACCCGCGGCGUAUUAGCUAGUUGGUGAGGUAAAGGCUCACCAAGGCAGUGAUACGUAGCCGACCUGAGAGGGUAAUCGGCCACAUUGGGACUGAGACACGGCCCAGACUCCUACGGGAGGCAGCAGUAGGGAAUCUUCCACAAUGGACGCAAGUCUGAUGGAGCAACGCCGCGUGAGUGAAGAAGGGUUUCGGCUCGUAAAGCUCUGUUGUUAAAGAAGAACGUGGGUAAGAGUAACUGUUUACCCAGUGACGGUAUUUAACCAGAAAGCCACGGCUAACUACGUGCCAGCAGCCGCGGUAAUACGUAGGUGGCAAGCGUUAUCCGGAUUUAUUGGGCGUAAAGCGAGCGCAGGCGGUCUUUUAAGUCUAAUGUGAAAGCCUUCGGCUCAACCGAAGAAGUGCAUUGGAAACUGGGAGACUUGAGUGCAGAAGAGGACAGUGGAACUCCAUGUGUAGCGGUGAAAUGCGUAGAUAUAUGGAAGAACACCAGUGGCGAAGGCGGCUGUCUGGUCUGCAACUGACGCUG